rnacentral:rRNA from 1 species
UACGUACGAGGCGAGCGUUAUCCGGAAUACUGGGCGUAAAGCGCGCGCAGGCGGAUAUUUAAGUCGGUCGUGAAAUCUCCCGGCCCAACUGGGAGGGGUCGUCCGAAACUGGAUGUCUUGAGGGCAGCAGAGGUAGGUGGAAUUCCUGGUGUAGUGGUGAAAUGCGUAGAGAUCAGGAGGAACACCGGUGGCGAAGGCGGCCUACUGGGCUGUCACUGACGCUGAGGCGCGAAAGCUCGGGGAGCGAACGGG